UACGUAGGUGGCAAGCGUUGUCCGGAUUUAUUGGGCGUAAAGGGCGCGCAGGCGGUUCGUUAAGUUCGAGGUGAAAUCUCCCGGCUCAACUGGGAGGGGUCUUCGGAUACUGGCGGACUUGAGGAGUGCAGAGGUGAGUGGAAUUCUCGGUGUAGUGGUGAAAUGCGUAGAUAUCGAGAGGAACACCAGUGGCGAAGGCGGCUCACUGGGCACCACCUGACGCUGAGGCGCGAAAGCGUGGGGAGCGAACAGG
rnacentral:rRNA from 1 species